UAAUACGAAGGGGGCUAGCGUUGUUCGGAAUUACUGGGCGUAAAGCGCACGCAGGCGGAUUGAUUAGUCGGGGGUGAAAUCCCGGGGCUCAACCUCGGAAUUGCCUUCGAUACUGUCAGUCUUGAGUCCGGGAGAGGUGAGUGGAAUUCCUAGUGUAGAGGUGAAAUUCGUAGAUAUUAGGAAGAACACCAGUGGCGAAGGCGGCUCACUGGCCCGGUACUGACGCUCAUGUGCGAAAGCGUGGGGAGCAAACAGGAUUAGAUACCCUGGUAGUCCACGCCGUAAACGAUGGAUGCUAGCCGUCGGGGAGCUUGCUCUUCGGUGGCGCAGCUAACGUAUUAAGCAUCCCGCCUGGGGAGUACGGUCGCAAGAUUA
rnacentral:rRNA from 1 species